rnacentral:piRNA from 1 species
UCGACUAUGAUGGGCACACCAAAGCACUGG